UCUUGGUGAUGCUCAGUCUAAGAAGAGCUAAGUACCAGCGAGAAGUUGAGUUACUCAGAACUCAUAAACACAUGCUCCAGUGAUUAACUCUGACGAGCUUCCAGCUGAUAGCCAAUAUGAACUAUCAUGCACGUGAUGAUGAGCAUCCAGACCACCUGACCCUUUAGAAGUUCCCAUUCUGAGCAACAAACAUCUAACUGGAACUACCUGAGAUCCUCCCGGAGCUGUUCCAAUUCCCUGGUCUGGGACAGGAGAUGCUGGAAAUCCCAUCAGGUGAACAGACAUCGAGAAACCAUCUGUAGCCAUUCCAGUUGCAUUUUCAAUAGCCAAAUAUGAUGACAUCAGAAUAUCUGGGUACGAAUCACCGUUGAAGACGCAGAAGGCCCUUAGGACAAGAAUAUCUGCAGUUUAGUCCCACACAACUUGCUGUACACAAAUUCUUCCUGCGAGCAGUUAAUUCUAUCACUCAGCACAUUGGAAAGUGCCCGACACUCCUGUACAGCUGUAGUCAUGUGAUCCGGCUACAUAAAGGGCUUGUGAUAGAAAAGUUAAUUAAUAAGGAGAAAGAGGGGCCAGAAAUGAGUUGUUUGAAUCAAACAGUAAAAUGUUUCCAGUUUAUGA